CGCACCUUGCGCCCGUUGGUAUUCCGAUGGGCAUGCCCGUUUGAGUGUCUUGAAAUCUUCAAGCCCCUUCCUUUGCCGAAAGGCGCGGACUGGGUUUGGACUUGGGGGUUCGUGCUGCCUUCACUGGCGGCUCCCCUUAAAUGCAUCGGCUGGGGUUCUGGACUUCAGUGCUGCCGAAGGCGUUGUAACAUCCUCGCUCGCGGCGGCCGUCCUCUGCGCCUCUGGCCUCGACCUGCCUCUGGAGCGGCGGUCAGCUCACUUUUCUUGACUCUGACCUCAAAUCGGGCAGGACUACCCGCUGAACUUAA
rnacentral:misc_RNA from 1 species